GCCCAACCCUAAUCACAACUGAAUCAUGUUUCUUUUUUUUAUAUUUGUGUCCUGCUUUUAAGGUGGUGGUGAUGAAGAGACAGGAAAAAGAGGCUUUGGAAGAGGAGGUUUCAGAGGCCAGAAUGAGGAAGUGUUUUCCAAGGUCUCAACAGCAGACAAGGAAAAUCACGAAGCAAGUGAAAAUGCAGGACCCAAGGUUGUCUAUGUGCCGCCUCCCCCUCCAGAAGAGGAGAGUUCCAUAUUUUCCCAUUAUGCCACAGGCAUUAAUUUUGACAAAUAUGAUGACAUCCUUGUGGAUGUGAGUGGCAGCAAUUCUCCAAAGGCUAUUAUGACUUUUGAUGAAGCAGGACUUUGUGAAUCACUGAGAAAGAAUGUAACGAAGUCUGGAUAUGUGAAGCCUACUCCUGUCCAGAAACAUGGAAUCCCCAUUAUUUCUGCUGGACGAGAUCUGAUGGCUUCUUACCAUCUUUUGGGGGUUUCUUGCUUUUAGACUAGUCGACUAGUCGGAUACAAAACUUUCGUUUAAACGACAAAUUAGUCAAAUUAGUCGUCGC
rnacentral:lncRNA from 1 species